UCGUAACAAGGUCUCCGUUGGUGAACCAGCGGAGGGAUCAUU
rnacentral:rRNA from 99 species